UUUUUCUCUGCAUAAUCAUAGGAACCCAGGCAGUAGCAUCGUUUCACAAUGUUUCCAUCACCAUCAUCAGUGAAUGCCUUUGCCGUCCGUACCCUGAGAUUUCAGAUUUGCAGCAAAAAAAUUGACUUUCCCAUUUAUUGGAAUGCUGUGCAGGUUGUACCUUGCAGCCAUCCAUUACAAUGUCACCAAGCCGUAACAAAAGCAGGAGAGGGAAAGUACAAGGCUAUGUUCCCAAAACACACAAGUGACAUACCUUAUGUGGAGGAUGUGAUCAGGCUUGUGUUUGAUGAGGUAUUUGAAGAUAAGCUGAAGGAAACCCCGAUUCCAAUGGACCUGGCAUCACAGUUUGAGAG